rnacentral:rRNA from 1 species
ACUCCUACGGGAGGCAGCAGUGGGGAAUAUUGCACAAUGGGGGAAACCCUGAUGCAGCGACGCCGCGUGAGCGAAGAAGUAUUUCGGUAUGUAAAGCUCUAUCAGCAGGGAAGAAAAUGACGGUACCUGACUAAGAAGCACCGGCUAAAUACGUGCCAGCAGCCGCGGUAAUACGUAUGGUGCAAGCGUUAUCCGGAUUUACUGGGUGUAAAGGGAGCGUAGACGGAUGGGCAAGUCUGAUGUGAAAACCCGGGGCUCAACCCCGGGACUGCAUUGGAAACUGUUCAUCUAGAGUGCUGGAGAGGUAAGUGGAAUUCCUAGUGUAGCGGUGAAAUGCGUAGAUAUUAGGAGGAACACCAGUGGCGAAGGCGGCUUACUGGACAGUAA